GGGCACGACACCGGAGAGGGAGCCUGAGAAACGGCUACCANNNNNAAGGAUGGCAGCAGGCGCGCAAAUUACCCAAUCCCGACACGGGGAGGUAGUGACAAUAAAUAACAAUACGGGGUUCUUUAGGAUCUCGUAAUUGGAAUGAGUACAAUUUAAAUCUCUUAACGAGGAACAAUUGGAGGGCAAGUCUGGUGCCAGCAGCCGCGGUAAUUCCAGCUCCAAUAGCGUAUAUUAAAGUUGUUGCAGUUAAAAAGCUCGUAGUUGAAUUUCGGGGUUAGUAGGUUGGUCAUGCCUCUGGUAUGUACUGGUCUCACUGAUUCCUCCUUCCUUAUGAACCGUAAUGCCAUUAAUUUGGUGUUGCGGGGAAUUUGGACUGUUACUUUGAAAAAAUUAGAGUGUUUAAAGCAAGCUAACGCUUGAAUACAUUAGCAUGGAAUAAUGAAAUAGGACGUUCGAUCUUAUUUUGUUGGUUUCUAGGAUUGACGUAAUGAUUAAUAGGGAUAGUUGGGGGCAUUAGUAUUCAAUUGUCAGAGGUGAAAUUCUUGGAUUUAUUGAAGACUAACUACUGCGAAAGCAUUUGCCAAGGAUGUUUUCAUUAAUCAAGAACGAAAGUUAGGGGAUCGAAGACGAUCAGAUACCGUCGUAGUCUUAACCAUAAACUAUGCCGACUAGGGAUCGGAUGAUGUUAAUUUUUUAAUGACUCAUUCGGCGCCUUACGGGAAACCAAAG
rnacentral:rRNA from 1 species